AGGGACUUUUCCAUCUUUUGGGGUCACCACAAUCCGGGACGUGAAACCCCACAUCUAGCGUCCCUGGGUGGGCAGGAAGACCCAAAAUCUGGCGUCCCUGGGUGAGCAGGAGACCCCACAAAAUAUCACCAAGGAGCAGAAAAUGCCAAUUUUCUUGACCAUCUUACUGGUUUUUUACCAGACUCACUGAUCAUGUGCCACAGACCUUGUUGACUGUAUUUUCAAGAUCUAGCAUUUCCAGUAGGAGAUGCUGGACUUCUGUGGUCAUAAAAAAUGCCCAGAAAGUUAACACUGAGAAGGCAAUCCAUACCUUUUCUUCUGCCUGAUUUACACUUUCAAUAUAGUGGAGCUUUAGCAAUGUUAACACACUUAAAACUAUCUGCCUUCAUGAAGAUGUCUACACAUCUACAUUUCCAAGACAACUGAGCAGAAAGCAGGUGUCCACUUUUAGGUCAACCUAAUUGCUUCUCAGACUCCAUUGAUUACAAUAACUAAAUACUCAGCUCACAUACAGACAUCUAAAAGUGGACACUCAUAUUUAAAUGCUUUAAUUUAAUGCUGAACUUAAUGCAGAAAUCUAACCACGCAUAAAUUUAGUGUAGCCAGGGACACAGGAAUGUCUUGAGGGGUCACCUGAAGGCCUCUGCCUGUACAUUUGCAGCUCUGUGCAACAAGAGACAUUCUGCUUCAUAUCAAGCAGAAACGUUUUCAUUAGUUGAUUAAUUCCAUGUUGAGUAGUAAAUGAAGGUCAAUCCACAGCAAUGUUUCUUUGAUCCUGUGGGAACUGAUUUGUAAAAAAACUAGCCAUGGAAUAUCUACAUUGCGAUCUUGUUUUUUUCUUACAAAUCAAUUUUUGACAUGAUUUUCACAAUUAAUUUUCUAGCACAAAAGAGAAGUGCUUAGAACUGAGACUCCAAGGUACUUUGAAGACAGCAUGUUGCCUCCUCUAACUAUUAAUUUGCAGUGAAUCUAUAAUAAAUACCAUUUGCAAACUUAAAUGGAGUAUCAGAAAAAAAAUGCAGAAGGUGAUGUAAACAUUUAUUCUUGCAAGAUAGUGGAGCUGGAUAUGCUUGCCUAAUACUGCAGCAAAUGUAAGAAUCCAGCAGUUUCACUAAAGCGUGGUGGAUAGUAAACUAAGUCACUUCUUUCUUGCAGCAGGCCUAAAUAUAAGAUGGACUUCAGACCAGAUGAGAUAGUAUGACUUGUUUCAGUACUGGCUGAAAUGAGGAUUCUCUUAAUUUUUCACUCAGUGAUUAAAGACAGUAGACAUUUUAGAAACAAAUCUGUCAUUAAAAUGCUACUUUUCCUGUGGUAAAUCCAUAUUUAUUUAUACUACAUGCACUGCUCCUUGUAUACCUUUUAGAUUCCUGCCAUCUAUUCAUUUUCAGCUACUUUAAAGAAAGAAGUAAGUUGACUGGAGCAAUUUCAAACUCAAAAUGUCUUUUAAUCCUUACUCCACAAGACAAAUUAGAUUUGCAAGCAUCUAGACCUCAAAUCUAUUUGCUCUUUAAUAAUUUAAGCACUGAAAGGUCAAACAACUCUUUUCUGUUCCCCUUCAUCAAAGUCCAAGUGCUAAUGAAAAAUAACUAAAUCCUAUCUGCUGGCCAAUUUCCACACACUGCUGUUUCUCUGAUGUAAAUUAACACAUUAUGAGCACCUCGGUCAAUGGAAACCCGACAAAAUUUUACCAGUGAUACUUUUUACAUUUGUACAAACGAGAUCAUCUUGCUAAUGAAUUUUACAAAAUUACCCCAAUUACAAUUAUAAUCCAAAAGCUUUCUCUAGGUCUUACAAUUAGUAUUAUUUUCUUUAAUAUGUAACAGCUGGACUGCCUACUCUGAAACAGGUUCAAGCUCAGUGAAUUGAGCUAGUACCGUGCCACGACUCUACUAUUCCUCUUAUGUAUUAGUCAGAUUUCCAGCUUGUUUGAAGUUGAAUUAUUCCUUUUCUACACCUCUAUAUUUCAGAGAAUAAUGUCUUCUUACCUUUAAUCCAAAAAACAAGUUCUACACUACAGUGAAAUGUGCUAAAAGCGUAUUGGUUAUCGGCAGCAUUUAGAGUGAUUUUCCAGAAGCAAAGAAAUGUAAUUUAAAUAUAAUUCAUAUUACAUAGUUUUAUCAUAGAAUUUCAAUGCCUUGUAAAUUAAAUUCAAAAUUUAUUUUUAUAAAUAAAUAGUUCGCUAUUGCAUUGAGAAGGGAACACAUGGCAGUUAUUUUUAAACUAGGAUUCAAAUGCUUCAAAUUUGGAGAUUAAACAGGUGUAUGGGAAAAGAAAAAAGAUUAUAUUAUUUUUACACUGCUUUUUAUUCUAACAGUUCCAAACCAGUUCCAAAUUUAAAUGAUUAUGCAGAGACACAUAUCUGAACACAGUACUUUAACUUUUGUUAGAAAUUAAACAUAGCAGGUCUCUCAAAUAUUUAUUGAAUUUGGAUUGCUUAAAUUGGAAUGGUGUGUCAAUGUCUGAUAAAUACACUAAUUUUUUUUCAGAGCUGAAAAAGAGACAUGAAAGCAGAAAGAAAACGUAUUAGCACGGUAAUAAAAGAUGCUCAGAGUACUUACACAACUGACAAUUUCAAAGAAGACUUAAGUAUAUAUCUAGUCUGAACUACAUGAAAUUAUGCAUUUGGGUAAUCUCCUGAAUCGGGACAUUACUCCACAUCACUGGAAUGCUGUAAAUCAAAUUUUAACUAAUCAAAGUCUCAUUCAAAGUUACAGAAUAACUUUCCAAGAAGGAUCUAUUGGAUGCAAAUGUAGACUUCAGAAGUCUUCAUACAGGAGUAUGUAAAUGUACAUACUUAACACGUACAAUCUAGGCAUUUAUUGAAACUUCUUAAUCUAUAAUUACACCUAAUUCCAAAGUAAUUUCAAAUUGCAAACAAAGGGAAAACAAGCUUGAUUACUUCUUUAUUGAACUGUCAGCUCUAUUUUGUCUCUCUAAAACAGUCUUGAUGCUUUAUAUAACUGAAGCAUUAAAGAAAUUUUUAGAAUUAAUUCUAAAGAAGAAGAGGUGGCCUAAGGAACUGAAUAUAGACAAAGACUAUCUGAUUUUAUUUACUAAUCUUAAUAAAGCUGCUGUGUGUGAUCCUAGGCAAGUCCAUUAACUAUUAUGGGCCUAGAAAUCCAGUUGUAAAAUAAGAAUAAGAAACUUUCUUAUUCCUGCUUCAAGUGUUUAAAAUCUCUUUGAAUUCUUAUUAUCCUUGAAUUUUUUUUCCCCUAAGAAAUAUACAAAGCCUGAGAAGCUCUUAAGGUCCACUAGGAGUGCCCUAAUAAACUGUGUAAACUGUUGGGCUACCUUUGCAGACUGUCAUGGUAACACUCUUGAGCUUAAUUUGAAGUUUUCUCUGUUAUAGUUGUUCACUGUUAUAAGUUCAUGCUUUAUUAGAAAUAUAGAAACCCAGUACUUUUUAUAGAUCUAUUUCUGUAUUUUGACUGGCAUGCUUACUUUGUUUUAACACUUACAGAGUCAAACAACAGAAUAACCCUUAAUCUACAUAUUGACCAUUAUUUCAGUUAGUCAUUCCCACAGCCCUAUUAAUCUGCAUGCUAGAAUCACUUUACUGCAUUUUUCUACUAAAAUACCAGUUCCAGUAGAGAGCAAAAUCACAAAACCCAAACCCCACCCCAUUAUCACAGCUCUAAGUCCAUGAAGAACCUGAUUGCUCAAACCAUUAGAGUCCCCACAGUUUGUAGGGUGCCCACAGUUUCAGCAAAUCUUCUGUAGACCCUGAAAAUUCUUCAGUUGUACUGCCAUUAAGCCUUUUAAAAUGUAUCUGUUGUUUUGUUCAUGUUUUGUAUCUAAAACUUCAUAUGUCUUUGCUCGUCAUGCUUUAUGCAAGUUUAUGGCCUAAUAUUGCUUCUUGAAAAGAAUGCAGCCUUUGGACAGUUGUUUCUAUAAAAUAUGCAAUAUAACUUCAUCUCUGCCAUCAGCUGUCUCUGGUCAUAUCAUAUUUAUAUGGAUUAACACUGGAGAUAUAUAUCUAUUUCUUCAUGCCCUUAUACUGCACUAUAUUCUUGUAAUUCAUCCUGUAACUUCAAAUUUUACAGUUCUAGAAAUUAUAUGUAAUUAUACAAAUGUAAUGCACCUUGAAAUGGAAGAGGGAAAUUACUCUUUAAAGGACAGAAAUUAAUAAUUUAUGGUUAGCAGGCAAAUAGAAAAAGGCUACGAGAAAUUGCCACUAACUCCCCUCCUACUGUGCAAGAGCCUGUAUAUUUAUUAUGGGUGGAUUAAAACAAAGGUGAUGAACAACCCCUGAUUUAUCAGGUGUCUCACCAUCACAGCUGCGCAGGCUUUGCCAGUGGGUGAGGAGUUCUAGCAACACCUAAUACACAGUGAAUAAAAUAUACUCUGUGUGCAGUCAUUUCCAGAACAGAUCCAAUGCCAGAGAACCAGCUGAAUAGCAGUCCUGUCCUGCUGACCACUGUCCCUGUGACCACUUUGCAUAUUUUAUCAAAGGGGAAGCACACAUGGUUCAACUAUGGACUAGAGGUAAGACCAGGGAUUUUUUGAUUAGCAGCAGGACAAAUGAGUAUACCUACUAAUGAGAAAACUGUUUAAGUUAGAUGUCUCUAUUUCAGGGACGUUUUAUUUGGGGGAUCAGAGAUUUUCUGGGCUUUAUGCAAAAUACAGCAUCACUCACUACAGCUUCUAAAAAAAGGUGAAGAAGCUUAAAAAAAAUCCCUUGUAGGAACAUAAUGUUCAGACAUGAAAAUACAGAACUUAGAGUGAAGAAAAACAAGCAGACUAAGCAAAACCUCCAAAUUGAUGUUGCUGUACUAAUAACAAUGUCAACAAGUAUUUUUAAAGUCAUACAUUAAUAUGUAAUUUAUAUAGGGGGAAAAAAGUGAUUUAGGCAAUGCUGCAAAUAAUACUCACACAACACAUAAUCAUCAAAAUUCUUGCAAUGGCUCCCAUUUAAGCACUUGACGUACCAGUGUUAGAGGUGUAUUGCCUGUUUCUUUGGGCGAGCAAAGGGAAUCUUAGAUCCUUAGAGCUUUUUGGAGUGAAGGGAGUCUUAAACCCUUCUGACUUUUUGUUUGCAUCUUUACUUGAAGCUAGGAGGUUCCAUGUAAACAAAAGCUUCACAAUUCUUUGGCAGGUUUCUAACUCUGAGGAACAGUUGUUGCCUCACAAAUGUAGAAAAGGUGCUAAGUAAAUAAAAUACUUUGUGCUACCAGCUUGUUCAAACUUAAAUGGAAUGAUUCUACUUUCACACCUGCCUUUGUUUACUAGCUUUGCAGGUCAAGAGAUAAGUCUGGUUAGAUUCUCCAAGGCAGGGCCUGUUUUCAUUCUCAGGAAAUACUAUUACUGCACCUGAAAUUUCCAGCCCAUGGGGAAAAAAUAAAAUUCAAGGAAUCUUUUGGAAUCAGACCUGGCAUGAACACAAGAGAGACUAAUACUAUACAACACCUCCAUUGUCAUGCAAGGAGCCCUAUUUCUCAGAUCAAUCACAGCAGAAAUACCUAUACGGCUGUAAAGGAGGAGAUAAGACAGCUUAGGUUCAGUCCCUAGAGACAGUGCCAAAUGUAAACUCUCAGGUGUCAUAAUAAGCUUUAUCUUCACAGACCCAAGUCCACUGGGGAGCAGUAUCCGGUUUUUAAUGUAAAACUCCUAAGCUGCUUUGUGACUGCCCAACUCUUUUGUAUGGAUGGUCUCAAAGACUUAAAAGUCAGCAUUUACAAAGGAGAUUUUCUGGGGAAAAUACAUCCAAGCAAACCUCUCCUUAGCAUUCCUGUGGUUUUAUACAGGAAAUCUUGACAAUUUUUCAAAUGGAAAGCAUUAUGUCCCUGGAAGUUAAAGAUAUUUUGCUUGUUCUUUUCUCUAAGGACAGUCACUCGGGAAGGAUAUGACAACAGGUUCAAUUCCCUUGAGAAGGAAAACAUUUGCUACAUAGUAUCUCAAUUGCAGAAGAGACAGAUAGGCUCUGAAAAUGGUAAUUUAAUGGCCACCAUAAGUGGCCACCACACAUUCAAAUUCUUUUUUCCAGAUGCAGAAGAAAGAAUACAUUUCUCUUUUGCAAAUCUGGACUGCCUAGAAUUUAAGGGACACAUCAGAGCUUUGGCUCAGAAAACUGCACGAAGAAAAUCCGAAAGGAAAAGGAGACAGUGAUGCAGGCUCCUUCUCCUUUCCAGGGGCCAGAUGAGUGCCAUCUUCUCCUGAUGACACUGGGUGUUUAACUUUUUGCCUAUUUCCUAGAACAGAGAUGCAUUGUUUUAGAGAAUCUAAGCACACUUGUAAGGGGCAGAGAGUGUCCAGCAAAGAGUGUCCAUCUUCAGCCUUGUAAUUGCAGGGAACCAUAACACCAUUCAUGAAACCUUUCUGAAAUGUUUCUGCCUUUAGAUUCAGUCAUCACAAAUGACAAUCCAAAAUGCAGUUUUGUUUUGUUAGUAGAGAAGGGGAGAGAGAGAGUGAAAAAUCUUGCAAGAAAUUCAGUUUGUAAUACUUUGUUACUUAGCAGGACAAUAAAGAUUGCGGCAGUACAUCAUCUGUACUUGGUUUUACAACACAUAGCCUGCUGAUGGACUGCAAUUUUAACUUUGUCCCAUCCAUCCUUUGCAAAAAAUCAAUAAAUUCAAUACAUAUGCUAACCUACACUUGUUCAAAAGAAGUAUUAGUUUACUAUUGAAACAGCAUAUUAAAAUUUAUAAGACCCAUUUGCCCAACAAGUAUAUAAGUGGUGGUUAGACAUAACGCCAACAAUAAUUGUGGCACAAGAGACUGCUCUGCUGUUAUUGUGAACUGGCAAGGGAAUCAAAACUGCUCUCUCAACCCUCCCAACCCCCCUAAUCCUUGAUAAAUAUUGAUGAAACGGUAUUUUUUUCUCCCUGGUUAUACCACUGCAUGGUUAAUUAUUUGUAAUUAUUUAAAUACUGGUGCCCAACUAGGACUUGGCAGUGUUAUUACUGCACUGGCCUACGAGAGUGACUGUCAUAAUUACCACAGACAGGAUGACAAAAAUGACAGGAUGCAACUAUGUUUUCUCAACUGCUAUGUACAUUGCUACACCUGAAAUUCCUUAAUCAUCAGUUUUCCCCACCCCUACUCUCCCAGGGGCUGGAUACUGCCCUAUACUGAUAUGAUCCAUCUGAUGAGACACAAUGUCUUAGCAAUUCUGCAUACUUAGAAAUAACCAUGUAAUUCCACCUUUCUUUUUCUUCUACAAGGUAAUAUUUUGCAUAUUUUUGUUAUUUUGUAGAAGAAGUUUUUAAUUAUUGUUUCUUCUGCUGAAAAAAUUAAAUGUUCUAAAAUAUUGCAGGUCACAACCCCCCACUAUGAUCAGAAACAUACUUUUUCUGAAACACUUAAAACUUCCCUGUGUCUUGUACUCUCCAUACUUAAUAUAGAUUUAUGUAUUUGGCUGCUUUUUCUUCAAACUCAAAAAUGUCAAGAAAAUAUAUAAAGUUUGUACAUAGUCCGUAGACCUACACCACACAAAGUGAGUACAAAAUGUAAAUAUAAUUAAGCCUCAAAAGGAGUUCAAAGUAGUGUUCUACAGGUGUAAGUAACAUGACACAAGAGAGAAUCUGGCUCUAUAUUCUUAAUUUAUUUCAGCUAUUAAGUGCUGGACAAGAAAAGGACAUCUUUGACUACAGAGAUCCCCUAAUGUGCCCCAUACAGUAUCGAUGAGAUCAAUCUGCUAAAAACAGUUUGCAAGUGACAAACUAAGAGGGGAACCAGAGUCCUGGCAAUGUAUUUUGGUGGUGGUGGUUUUUUCCCCCUUGGGUGUUGUUGGGUUUUUUUUUUUUUGUUUGUUUGGCUGGGGGUUGUUUGGUUUUUUGUUUGUGGCUUUUUUGUUUGGUUUAAUUUGGUUUUUUUCACAAAAAAAAAGAAAUAUUGGAGACAAGUAAUUGUGCAUAUGAAAAGAGAAAGAAAGAGACAAAACAAAACUAGGAAAAGAUUGAAAUACUCAAGAAUACAAAAGCUUACACAUGGCAGGAAUGUAGAGAAGAAGAAAAUAACAGAUAAUGUACUGAAAACAGCUUGACAUGUAUCAUCCUGUUUGGUAAAUAAGAAGUGAAAAUAAAAAGUAGUGGUAGGAAGGAUAAAAUAAAAAUGAAGUCUAUCUAAUAUAGAUACACUUUAAACAAAGCAUUUUUAACAACUUUCACCCAGCUACUUUUUGUAAAUGACACACAGUGUUUGUAAAAGAUAUUUGAUUUCAUAGCUAUAUUAUAAAAUCAAAUACCUUUUACAAACAAAUUGUGCAUAAUUUAUAAAAUUAAUAUAUUUCAUAAUAGAGCUGAAAACAAUCUUAUUAUGUACUUUCUUAAGAUUGGGGGGGUGGUUGUUAUCCAAGAAUGACUGCCUACAAGAUCUCUUUACACUCACUGUGAUCUACUGAGCAUUUUUUUAAUUGCUGUACCAACUGACACUUGGCUUCUUCCAUAAAUAACUCUGGUAAAUGUAACCUUAUAAUCUUUCUGGUAGGUAUGUCACCAUUAACUUUCUGGCAACAAUAGAACAUCUCUGCUGACAGCUCUUUCAUGUUUAAGGGACAAAAAUAUCCCAUUUAUAUUGACCAGGUACUUGGUUUUUUAAAGACCAUUUGAAACAGACGAUGCAUCAAAGCCUCAUAAAUAGACUAAGACACUACAAGUUUUACUGCAAGAAAUCUGGAAGGCUGUAAUCCCAUUUCUAUUCCUCAUGUCAUCUGUGAUACCCAGCUCCCACCUUCAAUAUGCUCAGCUCCUUUUAGUAUCUCCCAAACACUGGCUGGAAAAGAGGAGACACAUGCUGUGGCUGCUUCUGAGCUCCAUCCUGGCUCGCUGGUAUGAGAAUUGUAGCUCUCUGCUGAUGGCCCACAAGAAAUGAACUAACUCAUACUCUAACAUAGCCUAACCCUUCAGAUGCCAAUCUGGGUCUUUCACAGAGAUGCCAAAGUAUGUGAGAAAUUCACUAUUUAUGCAACAUUCAAACUAUUGCUUGAAAAUUUCCAAGAGGUCCUCUAUUAAUGAGGGAAGGAAGGAACACACAGGCAGAUGAAUGGGAUGAUACUUAAGACUUGUUUUCUUAGGAAACCAGGAAAAAAGUCAGGUGUAAACUUUUAACUUAUUUAUGAGUCAGAAAGUUUAAUUCUAAUUUUGGACAUGUAAUAUAGCACACAGAAUACAAGGAGUACUCCCUUUCUUCAUUUUACCAGUGAAAAGUUUUAUUCCUAUUGAGUAAUGACUCAGUCCCUCUAGGAACCAGAUACUAUUGAUCUCACUCCACAUGGCUUUACGCUCUUAAUUUAAACCCAAGCAGCAAUAUCACUAACUUCAAUGAUGCUAGUCUAAACUGAACUAACCUAAAGCUUUAGAUCCUCCAGGGCUUUGAGACCGACUUCAUUACCAAGCAGUACAAAACAGGGAUGCCUCCUACUUUCUUUAUGCUCUUCUCACAACUUGCCUUUAAAAUGAAUGCAAACCACAGAGAGAUUGUGAAAUUAUUAAUUCCACAAAACAGUCCACAAAGCCUCGGAGACUAUUCUGAGAUAUUCUGAAUUUAAAAAAAAAAUUCUGAAUAAAAAAAAUAAAUUCAGAGAGUGAGUUAUACAUUCAGCAGCUUAUUACACCACUCCCCACCAUUGCCAAGUUGUUAAAAAUCAUAUAUAGGUAUCUUUUCCUCUUUUUCUUUGGAGUAUUUCCAUUUAUUUUAACUUUAGAUACAGGAAUGUAGAAAGCAUGCUAUAUUGACUUGCAGAAAGCUAAACAGAUGUCCCUACCCUCACCAGAAAUAAAACUGUGCUCUCAUCUGCAUCGAUCCCCAGGGCUUGAUUUCCUAGGCCAUCCUUCCCACCACAGCAAGGCUACGCUUUCCUGUAGCCAGAAACACACUGCAGUUCCUCUCCUGACCAUGUGAGGAGGCUUAGCUCUUCUUCAUCAUUGCAACAGAGCUCUCCCUUGGGGAAGAAGGGCCUACUCAUUCUCUAAGCGACUUUGUUGUGUCCAAACAACUAAAAAUAAUUUUAAAAGAAAGUUGCAGGUAUAGAUUUCAAGAGGUUAUUUCUGCUGUUAACAAACCACGAACAAACCGUUUCAAGUGCAGAGCUUGUUCUGUACUAUCCUGCUACUGAUCUGCUCUUAAUUUGAGUACUUUCUUCCAGUAAUCACCUACCCAAAGCAGUGAGGGAAGAAGGAAGAGUGUGAGAAAGAGAUGGGGAGAAAGAGGGAUGCAGAGGAAAAAAGGGAGAGACAGAGAGGGAGAGGCAGAGGGGGUGGGAGACUUCUGUGUAGAAUCCUGCCAAGAAGAGGAAUGCCAGUUAGUCACAAGUUAUGUGGGAAGUUUUUAUAAUGAAAACAACCCAUCAUCAAAGUUACCUAGGUUUAUGAAAUAUUUCUCUCCAAUCUUGUUUACAGAUAUUUAUAUGAUAAGACUUUAUCCAUCUUUCAAAAUUUGUAUUAAAAAAACCUUAUUUCCAUCAGAAUAGCUUAGAGGAACACCCACAAUCCCCUCGGUAUGCAGUGUAGCACAAAGAAAUCAUUUUGGUUUAUUCCAGUUUAAAGGACAAAUAGCAAAUCAACUUAGAUGUUCAUAUUUUUACAUUUGUCAUGCUGUGGAGGUGUUUGUGCUUAGCAGAGCUCAGAGGACAGUGUGUAACUCCUAGCACAAAGAGCGUAUGACCUAAACUGGUCUUGCUCAUAAAAUAUAAUAAUGAAAACAGUUAAUAGCUGGUCUUGCAAAGACCAUUUUUGUAGACGCCACACAUUUGAUAUAACAACACAACACUGAAUAUUUCAGUCUUGUAACUUUAAUUUCUCUUUGUCCUGGCUUGAUCAAGAUAAGAUCAGUUCUAAAUUGCUUUGGAAUAUUAGCUGGGUACCACAAAUUUAUUUUGUAUUCUCUCAACCAUAACUCAUUACACGGAACUUGCUUGGCAUCAAUAAGUCACUAUGGCUUUUGUGUGCCUAUGCGUGUGUGGGAGCGUGCGUGUGGCUCAGUACCCUGCUGCUAGGCUAUUUAGUGAUAAAAUCUGAUAUAAUAAAAUAUUAAUUACAGCUGAAAGGUUGGGUGAGAAAUAUGAACUCAAUUACAGUCCCACAUUGUGAACAAAGGGCACGGUGAAAAAAUCCUUUAGUUAUAGAUGUUUGGGAUAAUAAAAGAACAACUAGAACAUUAGACUCAAACUGAGAGCUCCCUAAAAGGCCACCUGUUAUUAAUCUUCUCAUCAGGCAUAGAAUUUCAAGUAAAUUAGGUCAAGAUAAAAGCCGUUUGCUGCUGAUUUUUUUACUUAACUAAUUUAAAGCUUUAUCUGAGUAUUUUUUCUUUGAUGUCACUGCAAUUUAGUAAUUAGAAAUUUGUAACAAGCACAAGGACACAGCAAUUGUAAUGAAACCUUAGAUAUCCUAUAUAGGAUGCAAAAUGAUCACCUUAUAUUGUGGCAAAAAUUAGCAGUUUAUUCUAGAAGUCUUCAUUUCAGUCAGAUUGCCAGUUUCUUAGAACUGUAAGCAGAUGUGGUUAUACAAUCUUAGAAAGCCUCUUUUUUGGUUUUUUUGCUUAAAAAAAAAACAAACCAGCAGGGAAUAUAAGUCAUUCUAAAACUUCUUAAUACAUACAUUUCUGUUCAUCUCUUUGAUUUACCCGAGUAUGAAGUCAUACGCAUUACCAAAGACUUGACAGAAUGUGACCAGAUUGCAAACAAGCACAACUGUGAUCCAAAGUUAGUCUAAAUAAAAUAAUAUAACCUUGAAAUCCAAUGCUUAGUUGUGAAUCAUAAGAACUAAGAAAUCUUAUCUAUUACUGCAGGCUAAAAUGUGCCAUUAGAUCAUAAAAUAAGAUUCUCAUUGUCUGAUGAACUGUGUUCUCUAUAAACGUUUUCUAUUUCAAGAAAUUUUGCUGAAACUAUGGCAAUAUAUUUUGGUACCAAGCCAGAAAACAGACUUCCAAUGAAUUUACAUUUAUGAUACUUGGAACAAUCCUAAGACCAUUUCAAAGCUUCUUAAUCAGCUUUAUGUUCUUUGCCUAAUUUCUUUUUAAAAAGAAGACAGAAAAACGAUAACUUCAUAAGUAUAAGAUAAAAGUAUCUUGGUGCAGCAAGCAAAGUGCUUUUAUAAGCCAAUAUUACACCAUUUAACUCACCAGUUUUCAGGUUGCCAAAGGCAAUUUACAGAACAACAGGAAAGCAUGGGAAAAGGAGUCACAGUUUAAAAUAGAUUAAAGAAAGCAAAACUGUCUGAAAUAAUUUAGUCUAAAAAAGAACGAAGUUAGAGGGGAUCUGAAGGAAAUAUUCAAAAUGGAAAGCCAUGUCAGGACUGACUGUUCCUUUCUUUUUAAUCUGUCACAGAGGAAGAAAAUGCUGAUGCACAAUGGUACUGCAGUACAGAUCAAUGAGGAAAUACAAAAGAAAAUUCCAGGAGUCUGAACACAUGCAAACCAAUAUGCAACAAUCUGCAAGAUCACACAGCCCAUCUUAUCAGAAUCAGGAGUAUCACUUCUGCAAGUGUAUGCCUAACUUUCUGAUACUCAAAGACAGCUGAAUGCUGCUUGAAAAUUGCUUAUGACUGGAAUGCAAAGAUUCAUUAGAACACACCUUCAGCACUGGCAAAGUUGUUGAUGGCACCCAAACCAUCACAUCACACCUGGUUCCAUCUUGGUAUGUGGGGCAGGGAGCAAAGGAGAAACAGACUAGGUAUUUUUCUUAUUACAAGAUAUGACAGAAUGCUGUUACCUUUUCUUCACAACUUAAGUAGAAAAUAGAUGUAGCAAGGUCUGAAUGACCAGUUUACUUGGAUUCUCAAGAAAAGAGGAAGGCCAAUUCUCACCUAAUAGAAGCAAUUAUACUUCUUCUAAGUCUAAAUGGGAUGAAUAUGUUAUGCCAUCUCCACUAAAUAGUUCUGAGAUUCAAGCAUCUUUUUUUUAAUAAAUACUAUAAUAUAUUGUUUUCAUUCUAUAGUCUUCAGGGUACCGGAUAUGAUACAAUAAAAUACUCUACUGGAGUUAAAAGACAUGGAGUAACACAAAAAAGCAGCAGUCUCCAUGCAAGAUUCUGCUCGAGUAAUCUCUACUUUCAAAGAAAUCCAGGGCCUCCUUCAAACAAGAUUUCUUCCUCAAUAGCCAUGAAGAAGAUCAAUAGCUACACAAAGUUAAAUUAGAAGAGCAAUGAAAAAAAUACCUUGAGAAAUGAUGUGAUGUCCUUAAGGAAUGGGAACAUGCCCUCAGAUCUAAGUCCAUGCAUAAAUGAUAAUGCUACACUAUUGCUCAGCCUCUCGUAUUCAACACUCAAUUUAUGCAUAUGUGCUUGUUAUAUGUGAUGCUGCCUCCUAGAGCAGUGGUUUUCAUUCUGUUCUCCACAAACUUGUAAAAAAUGCAGUUUGCAGAAGGUAAAAAAAGCCAUACAGCUUAGGGAUCUCAAAUCACAAUACUUAGAUCUGCAUGUACGCUGAAAGAUCGUCAGGGGUUUAUAAAUUUAAAAAGUAAUUUUAUUAAGAGAAACUGAUUAUAACGAUUACAAGUAAGUGAUAUUCUACUUCAAUGCUUUCUAGUAAACAACAGACUACUGCAAUGCUGUAACUAUGCCCUGGAGACUGUCCAUGAGGUGUGGACAGUCUGCAAAUGCACCAAUGCUCAUGGGCAUGACUAUGGCCAGUUGCACAGCUUUUAUUUAUAAAUGUGAAUUAACAUGCACAUGCAAAUUGAUCAUAUUACACAGAAAUUAAGAAGUAGAAUUUAGAGCAGGAGAUCUGCUAAUGGAUUAAUAACACUGUUAACACUAAAUAUAUCCUACAUCUUCUACAAAGCUGUGCACUGGAAAUUCACAACUGAAUUGAGCUGGGGAAUUAAGAAAGUAGAUACACUAAAAUAAGCAGUUUAUAAGUAGAGGGAGAAUGCUUAUUUUCUCCCUUUAUUCAAGGAUGCUUUGAAAUCUGCUGGUUUGUGUACAGCAUAAGAAGAAAAAUAUUUGCUGAGGCAGCUGACUGAAUACACAAGCCAAUUUCAACAUUUUUUUUUUGAUUCAAAGCUUGAAAACUGUUUACUGCUCAUUAAAGCACUCACAGAGGAUAUGAAGUUUUUCAUCUAUUCAGUGAGAGGAUUCAAAGUAGAGCAUGGAGAAACCAGCUCAAACAGAUCCACUACAGUAAUUUAAGAUGCUGUCUCAUUUGUCCAUUUUCUCCUGGCCAGAUGCUUUGUUUUCACGGGAAAAUUGGUGGGAAGCAGCACAUGCCUAUGCUUCAGUUGCAACUGCAGACCACAGUGUUAUCACUUAAGCACCCAAGGCACAGGCACAUUUUCUCCUGCCGGCUCUGCUGUAGGAGAGCAAGACCACAGCAAAAAUAACCACAACAGAAUUCUCGCCUCUCAAUGCUAUCAUCUCUUUCCACAACUUAAAUGCAGUGGGUUCCGGUCCAGCAAUUAGGAAAUGGAGAUUGCUGUGUUCAUUUUCAUCCUUUCUUUCCUACAAAAAAGCUCUGCAGGGCACUUUAAUCAGCAGUGCAAAACGAUGCAGGCAGACACAGAACACAAGUCAGUUUUUGUGGCAUCGUCCCCAGUUUUCAGGACUUCUGUGGAUAAAUACAAGGCUGACCUUCUAUUCUGUCAGUGAAGGUAUAACUCUUCCUCCUCCCUGCACUGGGAAUGACUCUGGUAGGAUUAGGUGGCACAGAAACCUUGGCAGCAUGACAUUGUACAGCUCUUCCCACAGGAAAUCUGGCUGUAGAUAAAAGAUUCUGCACAGUUCAGGAUUAGCACAACUGUUAAAUACAGAUGAGAUUUUGGCCUUGUGCUUCUACUUCCCUACGAGGUUAAUCUUGAAAACAGCUUCAACUCCAGAUGGGAGAAUGCAGUGAAUUCAUCUGUCCUCAUCUGAUUUCCCCAUGGAACUUUCUCCCUAAAUUCAACAUUUUUAUAAUGCCUUACACAUCUAUCCUACCACUCUCUGAUGCUGUUUUAGGCUGAGGCUUUUACACUUCUCCCGACUAAAGAGCUGCUGCUCUCAGUUGUAGGGCUCAGUAAGUGACUCUAAUGUUUCUUUGUGUCAUUUAAUGUAAUCCAGUUGAGCAGAUUAGCUUUUACUUAGCAAUGCUUUAGAGUCAUGAUGCUUGUUGCAAAUGCCAGUGAUUUCCUUUCCUACUUAAAUGAACAGUGUAACAGAAAGUUUACAUGUUAAUAUUCAGCAAAAUGAAUACUCCUUCAGCAUCAAGUGUGGGGAAUGACAGUGUUUCACCUGGAGUGCAUCUAUAGCUUUUCUUCCUCUUUCCAGGCAGCACUUCUCUUUAUCCUUUUGUUUCCUUUAACAUUACUUAGUAUAAAAUAAAAGCAUUUAUUUGAUUGCUUGCAAUGCAUGAUCAAAACACUUUAGUACAAAUGGUUCAAUGGUUUAGAAUUGUUCAAUCAAAAAUUUAUACUGAGAGCUAGGAAUUGCCCCAAAUUACUUUGUUCUGGAAACAAGAGUCCUCCUACUGUACAUUUAAGUAUUAGCAACUGAAUUCUUUUUAAUGCAGCCAUUUAAUGUUUGCUAGUGAAUAAAGGGCUCAUACAAACUUGCUCAAAAUGCAAAAUACUGAAGAAAAAUUUCUAAGGUCAACAGCAGUAUAGAAAUGCACCAUUGUCCAAGAAUCUGUAGAAAAGCCAAUUAAAGUGGUACUGAUUACUACCGUGUUGCAACCUAAAUUAUUAGAAAAAUCCCAUUGACUUUUUGCUCCUUGUCACUCAGACACCUUGACAAAAAUUUGUGCUCUUUUGGGGGGUUGUAAAGUUUGUGCUCUUUUGGGGGUUGUCACAUACAGAACACUGAAAAACAUACUUUUGGCGCCAUAGAGCUGAGUGAGUUUAACUAGCACCAGCUCCCUGACAGGUACAUAUACCUCUUUAAAUUCACCACUGCCUAGAGUUAUAUAUAUGGUCUCUAAACUAAAAUUGCUCUCCUUCCCCUCUGAAGUUAAUUCUUCUGAUGCAUUUUUAGAAAAUAACCACUUCUUCUCUUGGCCUUAACUGGCUAGUUAGAAAACAAGUGGAGCUCUCUUGGUUCCUCCAUAUAUAACACAGGUUUUCCAUGAUCAUUUAUGCCAAAACACUCCACUGUCGUAGUGCCAGUACAUUGGUAUUCCUUGGUAGAUCAGAACAAGGCAUAGGAGCUCACACGAGGUCCUGCCAGUGUCUUGUACAAUGAUGCAGAUAGCUUGUCACCUUUGCUGGAAAUCCCACCUGCUGAGUACAGUCUAUUCCCCUAUUUCACACCCAUGCUGUGUUCUGAUGAUUCACAGUCAUGCUGUGAGCCAUCCACACACACUUUCUUCUCCUCCAUUAUUUCCAAAAGAGAGCCUCUAUCUUACAACCUGAAUCCUUCUUAUUAGCUCAUAAAAGGCAAACUUUGCAUCUCAUCCUGAAGAUUAUUCAGUAUUUUCUGUGCAACAUUCCAAUCCAGUGCUGCAAGAAGGAUUACUGUCAAAUGGAUCAAAAUGUGUUAUAUUUUAGAUCUAUAAACAAAACAGGCACUGGGUCACUUCUCAGCUGAUAAUUCAGUAUGUCACUAUACAGCACAGUGAUCAUGCACAUGUAUCACAGUCUCUGCUUCAGAGCUCUUAUGAACCACUUCAAAAUACAUAUUUAAUUCAAAUACUUAUGAAAGAAAUGGAACUGAAUCUUGAGAAUCACAAAAAAUAGGAAGUACAUGGCAUAGCUAGAGAACAGAAAUAUUGAUGUUCAACACUUCCAAGGCUUCAGCACUAGCAGGGGCCAAGCAGCCAAGGCUUCCAGUACAACCUGCAAGCCUGACCUGAGCCCUCACUGAGUCUAACGGGUGAACGAAGACCAAAGGUGACACCAUACUUUUCACUUGGGACAUCUCCCUUUGGCAUCUAGAAUUCAAGAGGAAAAAUACUGAUGGGAUUCAAACCUUUGCAAAAACAAAGAAUUGAGGUAAGAUGAAAAGCUACUGUAAUUUCACAUGGACAAGGAAAUGGGAAGUGCACAUACAUAAUACACAUUAAGGUCAACAGAGAAGGCUCCCAGAGAGAACAAUGGGUUAUACAUGCCUGACAAUGCCUAACCACAGUUUUACAGGAAUUUAGAAUGGGACACUCAGCACUGUGGCUACAACUAACAUACAUGUGAUGCUGUCAGAAAAUUACUUUGAAAUGUCUCCACAAAGUACAUCAUCCCCACAUAACCCUGUUUCACAACCACCAGGGGAAACCUAACUGGCCCACAUACUACGCCUUCAAUCCUUCCACAGCACACAGCAAAAUGAAAACAAAUCCCUAGCACACUUCAGUAAGUACAGAGCAACAGCACUUCUUUCUUACAUUUUCUUCUUUCAUUCUGUUACAAGGAACACUCUGGUUGUUCUGCAUUUGAACUUGGGUACGUUUAAACUGAGUACUCCUUUAAAAAUCAUGCAAUGCAGUAAUUUCCACUGACAUUCAUAAUGCCUUCACUGUGGUCCCCACAUUAAACACCUCCUUCUCUCAAGGCAAGCACCCAGAAGGACAUCUGACCCACCUACACACUCAGUGGGAGAAACAUUUCUCUAUGUCCAGAGGGCUACUCUGACAUGAAGGUAGGAUUGUACCUCUCACACUGUCUCUACGAGAUGAUCAAUGCUCCUAAUUGAGCAACUUCCUAAACUCAGACAGAAGUAGAUGCUUACAUUUAAAGACCUAAAAUACACUUUAUUUGGGAUUUUUUACUGUACAGGUCUACAUCUGCUUAAGACAGAAGUGUCUGAUCUCUCUCAGGAGAGAUGUGACAUUCAUACCAGCUUUUUCCACAAUAACCUAACAACUCCAGCAGGUCUGCAGAAAUCAGAGGCUGGGGUUAAAUACUGUUUUCAAACUGAGAGGCUUUCACCACACUGCUCCCACACCCCAACCAUCUGUACACCAUUACUGUGGUAUCCUGCUGAGGCUGGCCUAGCACGAAAACACAAAUACAAGAAAAAUCAGAGAGCUAGGAGAGUGUACAUGAUGAAACCUGUCUAAUCAAAGGGAGACUCUUUUUCUUCUGUCCAUUAUUUUUGUUUUUAUUCAAAUACCAUCUAAAUUGUAACACACCAAAAGUUCCAUGAGAAAAGAACAUGAACUUCAGUUCUCUUGUUUGCCUGAGAGGAGCUUCAGGAACUUUGUACUUCUACUCAGAGGUUUUUGCUGCUUUAUUGGAAAUAUAUAAUACUUGAAAACAGGUUGGUGGCUCAGACUUGUUAACACCAAGCUGCUUAAAAUCCAUCUAAGCUAUUUAUGCAACAAUGUCCUCCCUGUUAAAUUGGUGGAAAGGUCCACAGCAGGGCUGUAGCACCAGCCAACUACCACUCUCCCCAAAAUUCUCAGACAUGAAUCAGGGCCCAUUCCCAAACAGCAAUCUGUUAAGGGAUGCUGGUGCUUGGGAGCUCUGCAGUAUGAAUAUGGACUGGUUUUAACAAGUUGGACUCAGCACAAGAGAAUGUACUGGACAUACAAAUUUCACUGGUAAAUAUGUACACCUCAAGUCUGAGCUCAAGUACAUUCAUCUGAGCACUGAGUAGCCAUCCCUCUCAAAGGGAUCAUGCAAAAAUGACCCUGUUCUGUUCCUUGAAUACUCAGAGUUUGAUCUGUUCAUUUUAGUAAGUAGAUUUAAGAAAAACAUGCUUUAUCAAUUCUGACUUCAGUUGGCAAUUCAGAGCCAGCAAAACAGGUGUGAGUUCCACGAGUUAAUGAUUCACUGGUUGAAUUGUUGAUGGACUUCAGCCUUCAUGAGGGAGAUUGGAAAAACCCAGUGCUUCAAAGGAUCUUAACAAAGAACUGGUAGAGAUGAACUGGACUAUCACACUGUCAGAAUGAGAGGAUUUAUCACUUUCCCAUGGUGAGUUCCCAACUUUAAGUGAAGAAGCUGGCAUCCUUCAGAGAUGCCACUAUUGUGCUCAGGAGACCUGCACUAACUAUCCCUGUGAAGUGGAAGGCUCUCAUCCCAGCAAUGGUCUGUUGCUGUUGCCUUGCACCAGUCACAAUGCCAGUGAAAGAAGAUGAAGAGAAGGAUGUACAUACUCUAAAGUCAGUGUACUAGCUUUGAGCAGUAGCCUGUGGGGAUCCUUCUGCAGCCUCAUUAUUGCAGACUUAAGAGCAUUGAGGAGCAGGAAUAAGCCUGCUGCACACAUUUUCCUCAGCUCCUUUACUUUCAUGAUCAGCAUCCACAGUGUCACAAUGGUCAGAGCAAAGGUAUCAGCAGGACUAGACUGAAGUAAAAAAAAAAAAAAAUCUCAGUGUACCUGCUACCACAGACUGUUUUCUUUCUCUGAUCUAAAACACUUCCCAUCAUCUGAGAACUACAAGAUUCACAUUUGGAGCA